CUCGCAAUGUAAUCAGCCGUCACUUCAGCCAGGCAGAUACUAUUGGUACCAUCGAGAAAGAAAUGAGAAAACUAUUCAAUAUCCCGGAUGCGAAGGAAGCUAGGUUAUGGUACAGGUAUGCGGGUGACGCUUAUGGGCAGCUUGACAAACUGGAUAGCACAGUCCAAGAUGUAGGGCUCCAUCAGGGUCAGAUGGUUCUAAUAGAAGUGAAAAAUGAAGAUGGCACGUGGCCUGGACAGCAUAUUCUGACAAAGUAAGUAAGCGUGUUCUAAACACUUGUGCUCUUUUGUCCAGUUUAUUUGCUAGACUGGAGCCACCACAUG